rnacentral:rRNA from 1 species
UACAGAGACCUCAAGCGUUAUCCGGAUUCACUGGGCGUAAAGCGUCCGCAGGCGGUCUAAUUAGUCGGGCGUUAAAUGUCGGGGCUUAACCCCGUCACCGCGUUCGAAACGGUUAGACUAGAGGCUGGGAGAGGCAGAUGGAACUGCUGGUGUAGUAGUAAAAUGCGUUAAUAUCAGCAGGAACACCCAAGGCGAAGGCAUUCUGCUAGAACAGUUCUGACGCUCAGGGACGAAAGCGUAGGUCGCGAAUCGG